rnacentral:lncRNA from 1 species
UUUCUUUCCUUUCUACUAUGCUACAAUACUUUUCUUAAUUAAGAAUAAUCAUUUUUUUUGGUAGCUUCAGUUAUUUCUUUCAAAAUAUCCAAAUACAGUUAUCUUCCUCUUUUCCAGUUCAUAAAGAGAACAUGCAAAAUAUGUGUUCAGUGAAGAAUGAAAAAUAUAUAUCCAAGCCUUCUCCAAAAAGGCCUCAGUGACUUUUGCAACAUCCUCAACUUCAUUUAUCUAUAGGAUGGCUUUUGAUAGCUUUAUGUAAGCUUUUUAAAGUUCAGCCAAGCCAGCUGCAUGAUCAACACAAAGACAAUAGCUCCCACACACAGGGUUACAUGGAUUAAAGAACCCGAUCCAUCAGUAAACCUGCCAGAUGGCAGUGGAAGAAAGCUUGUAACUCUCUCACUUUCAUUUCAACAGCAGCAAACAAUGUUCAAUGUUUAAAAUAAACUCUUCCAGAUGAGCUAAAGAUAAACUCUGAGGUGGGUGGACUUGAUCUUGUUAGGCUGCAGCUCUGAAGUGUUUGAUUACAUUAACACAAAACCCCUGGGUAGAACCCACUUCUGUCAACAGAAUGCCUAGACUCAAACACCUACUACACAAAGCCAUUUCCUGUGCUUUCAUGGGUUGGUGGCAGAAACUCGCUCUGCUUUUUUCACAAACUAAUAAUAAUUAUAUAUUUUUCUGUGCUCA